ensembl:lncRNA
UCAAAUUGUCUGCAGCCCAAGUCCUGACCAAGACUUCACCCUGAGAUGAGGAGACUGGAGCCGGCUCAGGGAGAGUGAGGUCAGGAGAACAGGAGCAUACAGCCUACUGGAGGAUCAUUAAUGGAAGCCUCGCUGGACAUCUGACCUGACCCUAGUCCUACCCCUGGACCACCCCAAGCAGCUGCGCUGGUGCUGAGGCUGAGACGAGCUGGAUAAUGCACUUCAUUGGCUGGAGGGGAAACUGAGACGUCUUGAGCUAUUGAUCCAGAUAACAUGUUCCAGUUUGAGUGCAGUGUCCAGUCGGCAGCAUAUGGCGGAGCCUGCACUUGACUUUGGGCCGUUCCCAGACACAGCCCUGCCUGGCCGACUCACAGGGGCAGCUGUGGGAGACGCUCAGGGUGACAACAGAUGUUUCUCCGCUUUUGUUUGAAUGAGUCUGGGGAUACGGCUCUGUCCGCAACUGACCUUUGACCUCUAAUUGGUUCAUGGCAAAGGUCAAGGGUGGCCUGCACAUGCUCAGUGGAGCUCAGCCUCAAUGGACGUGUGAAUAAUCUAGAUGAUCUCUGUGUUCAGCCGGUUUUGGGCUUGUGUUGGGGUCGUUACCUUAAAUUCAUCCAGUGUUUUAGUGCUCUGAUGGAGAUGCUGAGAGCUCACACAUUUGGGACUAUUUUAAAUGUCUCUUCUGCAAAUUAGAGCAUAUUUUAGCAAAACUAAUAUGUCUAGAUUUUAUUCUAAAGGUUUUGUACAAUUCAG